UACAGAGGUGGCAAGCGUUGUUCGGAAUUACUGGGCGUAAAGGGCGCGUAGGCGGCCUACUAAGUCAGACGUGAAAUCCCCCGGCUUAACCUGGGAACUGCGUCUGAUACUGGAAGGCUUGAGGAUGGGAGAGGGAUGUAGAAUUCCAGGUGUAGCGGUGAAAUGCGUAGAUAUCUGGAGGAAUACCGAAGGCGAAGGCAGUGUCCUGGCUGGUAACUGACGCUGAGGCGCGAAAGCUAGGGGAGCGAACAGG
rnacentral:rRNA from 1 species